CCGCCCCGAAUUGUAGUCUAGAAAGGCGCCAUCGGCCGCGCCCGCCGCUCAAAUCCCUUGGAACAGGGUAUCGGAGAAGGUGAGAAUCCUGUACCGUGGUGGUCCGCGGCCGCACGAUGCGCCCUUGCAGAGUCGGGUUGCUUGGGAUUGCAGCUUGAAUUGGGUGGUAAAUUCCAUCUAAAGCUAAAUAUUGGCUCAUGACCGAUAGCGAACAAGUACCGUGAGGGAAAGAUGCAAAGAACUUUGAAAAGAGAGUUAAAGAGUGCUUGAAAUUGGCAGGAGGAAACCCGUUUGCACCCGGGCUUCGCGCCGUCGACUCAGCCGUCUCGAAGCGGUGCACUUUGUCGGCGCGGGUCCGCCGCGUCUGGUCGCGCGUCAAAAUCGCCGGGGGGGCUUCGGUGAGCCCGGACAUGUCGCGCGGUCGGCCUCGUCGGACGGAACGGGUGCAACCGACCCGUCUAGAAACACGGACCAAGGAGUCUGACACGGAUGCGAGUACCCGGGUGGCAAGCCCGCGUGCGCAAUGAAAGUGAAGGGCGUGCCCCGCCAACCGACCUUGAUCUUCUGUGAAGGGUUUGAGUGGAGCACAUCUGUCGGGACCCGAAAGAUGGUGAACUAUGCCUGAGGAGGGUGAAGCCAGAGGAAACUCUGGUGGAGGCUCGUAGCGAUACUGACGUGCAAAUCGUUCGUCGAACUUGGGUAUAGGGGCGAAAGACUAAUCGAACCAUCUAGUAGCUGGUUCCCUCCGAAGUUUCCCUCAGGAUAGCUUGGACGCAAGGGUUUUGU
rnacentral:rRNA from 1 species